rnacentral:rRNA from 1 species
CCUGAGUACGACGGAGCACGUGAAAUUCCGUCGGAAUCUGGGAGGACCAUCUCCUAAGGCUAAAUACUCUCUAGUGACCGAUAGUGAACCAGUACCGUGAGGGAAAGGUGAAAAGUACCCCGGAAGGGGAGUGAAAGAGAACUUGAAACCGUGUGCUUACAAGUAGUCAGAGCCCGUUAAUGGGUGAUGGCGUGCCUUUUGUAGAAUGAACCGGCGAGUUACGAUCUGAUGCAAGGUUAAGCAGAAAAUGUGGAGCCGUAGCGAAAGCGAGUCUGAAUAGGGCGAAUGAGUAUUUGGUCGUAGACCCGAAACCAGGUGAUCUACCCUUGGUCAGGUUGAAGUUCAGGUAACACUGAAUGGAGGACCGAACCGACUUACGUUGAAAAGUGAGCGGAUGAACUGAGGGUAGCGGAGAAAUUCCAAUCGAACUUGGAGAUAGCUGGUUCUCUCCGAAAUAGCUUUAGGGCUAGCCUCAAGUGAUGAUUAUUGGAGGUAGAGCACUGUUUGGACGAGGGGCCCCUCUCGGGUUACCGAAUUCAGACAAACUCCGAAUGCCAAAUAAUUUAACUUGGGAGUCAGAAUGUGGGUGAUAAGGUCCAUAUUCGAAAGGGAAACAGCCCAGACCACCAGCUAAGGUCCCAAAAUAUAUGUUAAGUGGAAAAGGAUGUGGCGUUGCCCAGACAACUAGGAUGUUGGCUUAGAAGCAGCCAUCAUUUAAAGAGUGCGUAAUAGCUCACUAGUCGAGUGACACUGCGCCGAAAAUGUACCGGGGCUAAACAUAUUACCGAAGCUGUGGAUUGUCCUUUGGACAAUGGUAGGAGAGCGUUCUAAGGGCGUUGAAGCAUGAUCGCAAGGACAUGUGGAGCGCUUAGAAGUGAGAAUGCCGGUGUGAGUAGCGAAAGACGGGUGAGAAUCCCGUCCACCGAUUGACUAAGGUUUCCAGAGGAAGGCUCGUCCGCUCUGGGUUAGUCGGGUCCUAAGCUGAGGCCGACAGGCGUAGGCGAUGGAUAACAGGUUGAUAUUCCUGUACCACCAUUAUUCGUUUUAAGCGAUGGGGGGACGCAGUAGGAUAGGCGAAGCGUGCUGUUGGAGUGCACGUCCAAGCAGUGAGAUUGAGUGUUAGGCAAAUCCGGCACUCUUAAGAUUGAGCUGUGAUGGGGAGAGGAACUUGUUCCUCGAGUCGUUGAUUUCACACUGCCGAGAAAAGCCUCUAGCUAGAAUAACGGUGCCCGUACCGCAAACCGACACAGGUAGUCAAGAUGAGAAUUCUAAGGUGAGCGAGCGAACUCUCGUUAAGGAACUCGGCAAAAUGACCCCGUAACUUCGGGAGAAGGGGUGCUCUUUGAGGUUCACGCUUCGAAGAGCCGCAGUGAAUAGGCCCAAGCGACUGUUUAUCAAAAACACAGGUCUCUGCUAAACCGUAAGGUGACGUAUAGGGGCUGACGCCUGCCCGGUGCUGGAAGGUUAAGAGGAGUGGUUAGCGCAAGCGAAGCUACGAAUCGAAGCCCCAGUAAACGGCGGCCGUAACUAUAACGGUCCUAAGGUAGCGAAAUUCCUUGUCGGGUAAGUUCCGACCCGCACGAAAGGCGUAACGAUUUGGGCACUGUCUCAACGAGAGACUCGGUGAAAUCAUAGUACCGGUGAAGAUGCCGGUUACCCGCGACAGGACGGAAAGAC